AACGAACGCUGGCGGCAUGCCUAACACAUGCAAGUCGAACGAAGCCUUCGGGCUUAGUGGCGCACGGGUGCGUAACGCGUGGGAAUCUGCCCUUGGGUUCGGAAUAACAGUUAGAAAUGACUGCUAAUACCGAAUGAUGUCUUCGGACCAAAGAUUUAUCGCCCAAGGAUGAGCCCGCGUCGGAUUAGCUAGUUGGUGAGGUAAAGGCUCACCAAGGCGACGAUCCGUAGCUGGUCUGAGAGGAUGAUCAGCCACACUGGGACUGAGACACGGCCCAGACUCCUACGGGAGGCAGCAGUGGGGAAUAUUGGACAAUGGGCGAAAGCCUGAUCCAGCAAUGCCGCGUGAGUGAUGAAGGCCUUAGGGUUGUAAAGCUCUUUUACCCGGGAAGAUAAUGACUGUACCGGGAGAAUAAGCCCCGGCUAACUCCGUGCCAGCAGCCGCGGUAAU
rnacentral:rRNA from 1 species